rnacentral:tRNA from 2 species
GCAGCUGUGGCUGAAUGGUCACGGUAUUCGCUUUGUAAGCGAAUGGUUCGAUUCCCAUCUGCU